UCGGACGUGGUGCAUGGCGCACACCCGCCUUCGCUGGAUGUUCUGACCACCUGUUGAACGGGAGUACCGGGUUCGAUUCCCGGCGUCCGAA